rnacentral:rRNA from 1 species
CCUACGGGUGGCAGCAGUCGAGAAUCAUUCACAAUGGGGGAAACCCUGAUGGUGCGACGCCGCGUGGGGGAAUGAAGGUCUUCGGAUUGUAAACCCCUGUCAUGUGGGAGCAAAUUAAAAAGAUAGUACCACAAGAGGAAGAGACGGCUAACUCUGUGCCAGCAGCCGCGGUAAUACAGAGGUCUCAAGCGUUGUUCGGAAUCACUGGGCGUAAAGCGUGCGUAGGCUGUUUCGUAAGUCGUGUGUGAAAGGCGCGGACUCAACCCGCGGACGGCACAUGAUACUGCGGGACUAGAGUAAUGGAGGGGGAACCGGAAUUCUCGGUGUAGCAGUGAAAUGCGUAGAUAUCGAGAGGAACACUCGUGGCGAAGGCGGGUUCCUGGACAUUAACUGACGCUGAGGCACGAAGGCCAGGGGAGCGAAAGGGAUUAGAUACCCUUGUAGUC